GCGCCAGUAGCUCAAUUGGAUAGAGCGUUUGGCUACGGACCAAAAGGCUGGGGGUUCGAGUCCCUCUGGGCGCACCA
rnacentral:tRNA from 1 species